rnacentral:rRNA from 1 species
GAGUGAACGCUGGCGGCAGGCCUAACACAUGCAAGUCGAACGGCAGCACGGCAGUAGCAAUACUGUGGGUGGCGAGUGGCGGACGGGUGAGGAAUACAUCGGGAUCUACCCUGUUGUGGGGGAUAACGUAGGGAAACUUACGCUAAUACCGCAUAAGAACUGAGGUUGAAAGCGGCGGACCGCAAGGCGUCGCGCGAUUGGAUGAACCGAUGUCCGAUUAGCUAGUUGGCGGGGUAAAGGCCCACCAAGGCGACGAUCGGUAGCUGGUCUGAGAGGACGACCAGCCACACUGGAACUGAGACACGGUCCAGACUCCUACGGGAGGCAGCAGUGGGGAAUAUUGGACAAUGGGCGCAAGCCUGAUCCAGCCAUGCCGCGUGGGUGAAGAAGGCCUUCGGGUUGUAAAGCCCUUUUGUCCGGAAAGAAAAGCAUUCGGUUAAUACCCGGGUGUUCUGACGGUACCGGAAGAAUAAGCACCGGCUAACUUCGUG